CUGGAUAGUAUAUUGAUAGUGACUACUACUAUCUAUAAGUCUUGGCCAAGUUUCGUGCCAGCAGCCGCGGUAAAACGAUGAAGACAAGUGUUAUUCAUCUUUAUUGGGUAUAAAGGGUACCUAGACGGUAUAUCUAGCCUUAACUAGGAGGUACGGAUUUAACUAGAGUUUUAUGUAAAAGGCCUUUUAGAACUGUUAGAGUAGAGAUGCAAUUUGUAGAUACUUUCAGGACUGGUAAUGGCGAAGGCGACCCUUUAUGUAAAAACUGACGUUGAGGGACGUGGGCUUGGGUAGCGAAUAGGAUUAGAGACCCUAAUAGUCCAGGCAGUAAAUAAUGAGUGCCAUAGGUUAGAAUUUUUUGAUCUAUAAAUGAAAAUGCAAGCACUCCACCUCAAGAGUAAUGUGGCAACACUGGAACUGAAAUGAUUAGAGAGGACCUGAGAUCAGUAGUGAGGUACGUAGUUUAAUUCGAUAAUGCGCGACUAACCUUACCAUUAGCUAGUAUAUAUAAGCUUGUAUAUUAUGCAAUACAUUAUGUUCCGUUUAUAAUGUUUGCAUUGUUAUUAUACUUAUUUUACAGGUGUUGCACGGCUGUCUAGUUUAUGUCGUGAGAUACAGAUUUAAUUCAAUUAAUUAACGCAGACCCUUACUUUAUUUAUAUAUUUAGUAGUCCUUGGGAGACCGGGGAUAGUAGGGAUAUGGGCAAGUACUCGUGACCUAAAUUGCUUUGGGCUACAGACGUGCUGCAUUUGCCUACACAAAAGGAAGCAAGUAUGGGAAUAUAAGCUAAUCCUAAAAAUAGGUUAUCACAU
rnacentral:rRNA from 1 species